GUCUACGGCCAUACCACCCUUGAACGCGCCCGAUCUCGUCUGAUCUCGGAAGCUAAGCAGGGUCGGGCCCGGUUAGUACUUGGAUGGGAGAUUGAAUGUGGCUCAGUUUGCUGCU
ensembl:rRNA 5S_rRNA 5S ribosomal RNA